CCUCUUUAAAAAAAAAAAAACUGGCCCUUAGGUCCGUCGCUGCCUCGGUGUCCCUGUCGGGCUUCCCAGCAGCGGCCUAGUGGAAAAGUAAAAGAUGUCUGAAUAUAUUCGGGUAACCGAAGAUGAGAACGAUGAGCCCAUUGAAAUACCAUCGGAAGACGAUGGGAAGGUGCUGCUGUCCACGGUUACAGCCCGGUUUCCAGGGGCGUGUGGGCUUUGCUACGGGAAUCCAGUGUCUCAAUGUAUGAGAGGUGUCCGGCUGGUAGAAGGAAUUCUGCAUGCCCCCGAUGCUGGCUGGAGAAAUCUGGUGUAUGUUGUCAACUAUCCGAAAGGUAACAAAAGAAAAAUGGGUGAGACAGAUGCUUCAUCAGCAGUGAAAGUGAAAAGACCCGUUCGAUUGAAUAGUGUUGGGUCUCCCGUGGAAAACAACUGAACAGGACCUGAAAGAGUAUUGUAGUACCUUUGGAGAAGUUCUUAUGGUGCAGCAAAGCCAAGAUGAGCCUUUGAGAAGCAGAGAAGUGUUUGUGGGGCGCUGUACAGAGGACAUGACUGAGGAUGAGCUGUGGGAGUUCUUCUCUCAGUAUGGGGAUGUGAUGGAUGCCUUCAUCCCCAACCCGUUCAGGGCCUUUGCCUUUGUUCCAUUUGCAGAGGAUCAGAUUGCUCAGUCUCUUUGUGGAGAGCACUUGAUUAAAGGAAUCAGUGUUCAUAUAUCCAAUGCCGAACCCAAGCACAAUGGCAAUAGACAGAAAGAAGUGGAAGAUUUGGUGGUAUUCCAGGUGGCUUUGGGAAUCGGUGGAUUUGGUAAUAGUAGAGGGGGUGGAGCUGGUUUGGGAAACAAUCAAGGUAGUAAUAUGGGUGGUGGGAUAAACUUCGGUGCGUUCAGCAUUAAUCCAGUCAUGAUGGCUGCCCCCCAGGCAGCGCUACAGAGCAGUUGGUGUACGAUGGGCGUGUUAGCCAGCCAGCGAACCAGCCAGGCCCAUCGGAUAAUAACCAAAGCCAAGGCAACAUGCAGAGGGAGCCAAACCAGGCCUUCGGUUCUGGAAAUAACUCUUAUAGUGGUUCUAAUUUUGGUGCAGCAAUUGGUUGGGGAUCAGCAUCAAAUGCAGGGUUGGCAGUGGUUUUAAUGGCGGCUUUGGCUCAAGCGUGGAUUCUAAGUCUUCUGGCUGGGGAAUGUAGACAGUGGGGUUGUGGUUGGUUGGUAUAGAAUGGUCGGAAUUCAACUUUUUCUAAACUCAUGGUAAAUACAUUGUAAAAUACA